rnacentral:ribozyme from 13 species
UUUUUUUUUUUUUUUUUUUUUUUUGUCAAUUAAAAAAUAAUGCAUCUAUGAAUCUUACAACGUUCUUAAUGACUUGAACAAACUAUAUAAAGAUUGCCAUGUUGCGAAGUGAAGUGCUCCAGUUAAGAGCCGAUAAGAAUCGUUUAGAAGCAGAAAAUGUGGAUCUUAGAGUU